CGGGGUGCAGCAGGCGCGAAAACUCUACAAUGCAGGCAACUGCGAUAGGGGAACAUCGAGUGAUACUCAUCUUGGGUGUCUGUCCUCCCGUCUAAAAAACGGGAGUUAGCAAGGGCCGGGCAAGACCGGUGCCAGCCGCCGCGGUAAUACCGGCGGCUCGAGUGGUGGCCGAUAUUAUUGAGUCUAAAGGGUCCGUAGCCGGCUUUGCAAGUUUUUCGGGAAAUCUAGCGGAUUAACCGUUGGUUGUCCGGGAGAUACUACAAAGCCUGUGAGUGUGAGACGUUGGAGGUAUUCAGGGGGUAGGAAUGAAAUCCUGUAAUCCUCAGGGGACCACCGGUGGAGAAGGUGUCAUACCAGAACAGGUCCGACGGUGAGGGAAGAAAGCUAGGGGCACGAACCGGAUUAGAUACCCGGGUAGUCCUAGCCGUAAACGAUGCUCGCUAGGUGUCACAACAAUCGUGAACGUUGUGGUGCCGUAGGGAACCCGUGAAGCGAGCCACUUGGGAAGUACGACCGCAAGGUUGAAACUUAAAG
rnacentral:rRNA from 1 species